rnacentral:rRNA from 1 species
ACAGCAGUAGCCGCGGUAACACGAAGGGGGCUAGCGUUGUUCGGAUUUACUGGGCGUAAAGCGCACGUAGGCGGACUUUUAAGUCAGGGGUGAAAUCCCGGGGCUCAACCCCGGAACUGCCUUUGAUACUGGGAGUCUUGAGUUCGAGAGAGGUGAGUGGAAUUGCGAGUGUAGAGGUGAAAUUCGUAGAUAUUCGCAGGAACACCAGUGGCGAAGGCGGCUCACUGGCUCGAUACUGACGCUGAGGUGCGAAAGCGUGGGGAGCAAACAGGAUUAGAUACCCCGGUAGUCCCUGUCUCUUAUAC